rnacentral:rRNA from 1 species
GACUUGUGCGCAUCGGGCGUGGCGGCCUGCGUCCAAAAGGGCGCUCGGCCAGCCUGCCCUGGUGCCGUAAAAUUUGCAGCUGGAUCGUCGCUGGCCUUAACUGGUCGGCGGCGUCGUUCGGCUGCUCGUUUACUGUGAGAAAAUUGGAGUGUUCAAGGCAGGCCGUGAGUGCAAUUGAACAUGUUAGCAUGGAAUAAUGAGAUAGGGCUCGCGCUUUAUUUUGUUGGUUUCUAGAGUGGGAGUAAUGAUUGAUAGGGACAGUUGGGGGUGCUAGUAUUCAGCGGCCAGAGGUGAAAUUCAUGGAUUCGCUGAAGACUAACUUAUGCGAAAGCAUU